rnacentral:rRNA from 1 species
CUGUUGGGUAGGGGAGCGUUGUGUAAGUCGAUGAAGGUGUAUUGAGAAGUAUGCUGGAGAUAUCACAAGUGCGAAUGCUGACAUAAGUAACGAUAAAACGAGUGAAAAACUCGUUCGCCGGAAGACCAAGGGUUCCUGUCCAACGUUAAUCGGGGCAGGGUGAGUCGGCCCCUAAGGCGAGGCUGAAAAGCGUAGUCGAUGGGAAACGGGUUAAUAUUCCCGUACUUGGUAAAGCUGCGAUGUGGGGACGGAGAAGGUUAGGUUAGCAGACUGUUGGAUGUCUGUUUAAGUUGGUAGGUGGGGAGUUUAGGCAAAUCCGGACUUCCAUAACACUGAGAGAUGAUGACGAGUUUCUACGGAAAUGAAGUAACUGAUACCACGCUUCCAGGAAAAGCCACUAAGCGAAAGGCUUUACUAAACCGUACUGAAAACCGACACAGGUGGUCAGGUAGAGAAUACUCAGGCGCUUGAGAGAACUCGGGUGAAGGAACUAGGCAAAAUAGCACCGUAACUUCGGGAGAAGGUGCGCUGGCGUAGGUUGUAGGAGUAUACCUCCGAAGGCUGAACCAGUCGAAGAUACCAGCUGGCUGCAACUGUUUAUUAAAAACACAGCACUCUGCAAACACGAAAGUGGACGUAUAGGGUGUGAUGCCUGCCCGGUGCUGGAAGGUUAAUUGAUGGUGUUAUCGAAAGAGAAGCUCCUGAUCGAAGCCCCAGUAAACGGCGGCCGUAACUAUAACGGUCCUAAGGUAGCGAAAUUCCUUGUCGGGUAAGUUCCGACCUGCACGAAUGGCAUAAUGAUGGCCAGGCUGUCUCCACCCGAGACUCAGUGAAAUUGAAAUCGCCGUGAAGAUGCGGUGUACCCGCGGCUAGACGGAAAGACCCCGUGAACCUUUACUAUAGCUUGACACUGAACAUUGAAUUUUGAUGUGUAGGAUAGGUGGGAGACUAAGAAGCAGGCACGCCAGUGCUUGUGGAGUCGACCUUGAAAUACCACCCUUUAACGUUUGAUGUUCUAACGAAGAUUACGAAACGUGGUCUCGGACAGUGUCUGGUGGGUAGUUUGACUGGGGCGGUCUCCUCCCAAAGCGUAACGGAGGAGCACGAAGGUUUGCUAAUCACGGUCGGACAUCGUGAGGUUAGUGCAAUGGUAUAAGCAAGCUUAACUGCGAGACAGACAAGUCGAGCAGGUGCGAAAGCAGGUCAUAGUGAUCCGGUGGUUCUGAAUGGAAGGGCCAUCGCUCAACGGAUAAAAGGUACUCCGGGGAUAACAGGCUGAUACCGCCCAAGAGUUCAUAUCGACGGCGGUGUUUGGCACCUCGAUGUCGGCUCAUCACAUCCUGGGGCUGAAGUAGGUCCCAAGGGUAUGGCUGUUCGCCAUUUAAAGUGGUACGCGAGCUGGGUUUAGAACGUCGUGAGACAGUUCGGUCCCUAUCUGCCGUGGGCGUUGGAGAAUUGAGAGGGGCUGCUCCUAGUACGAGAGGACCGGAGUGGACGCAUCACUGGUGUACCAGUUGUCUCGCCAGAGGCAUUGCUGGGUAGCUAAAUGCGGAAGAGAUAAGUGCUGAAAGCAUCUAAGCACGAAACUCGCCUUAAGAUGAGUUCUCCCUAGCUAUAAGCUAGUAAGGGUUGUUG